AUCCAGCUGACCAGUCCCAAAUAGGACGAAGAGCGCACCCUGGAU
rfam:Schistosoma mansoni strain Puerto Rico chromosome 4, complete genome